rnacentral:rRNA from 1 species
AUUUAACGCUGGCGGCAUGCCUUACACAUGCAAGUCGAACGGCAGCACGGGUGCUUGCACCUGGUGGCGAGUGGCGAACGGGUGAGUAAUACAUCGGAACAUGUCCUGUAGUGGGGGAUAGCCCGGCGAAAGCCGGAUUAAUACCGCAUACGAUCUACGGAUGAAAGCGGGGGACCUUCGGGCCUCGCGCUAUAGGGUUGGCCGAUGGCUGAUUAGCUAGUUGGUGGGGUAAAGGCCUACCAAGGCGACGAUCAGUAGCUGGUCUGAGAGGACGACCAGCCACACUGGGACUGAGACACGGCCCAGACUCCUACGGGAGGCAGCAGUGGGGAAUUUUGGACAAUGGGCGAAAGCCUGAUCCAGCAAUGCCGCGUGUGUGAAGAAGGCCUUCGGGUUGUAAAGCACUUUUGUCCAGAAAGAAAUCCUUGGCUCUAAUACAGUCGGGGGAUGACGGUACCGGAAGAAUAAGCACCGGCUAACUACGUG